AUUAUAAAUUAUAUAUAAAUUGAGACCAGUGGUUCUCAAGAUUGAUAGCAGAGGUGGGGCCAGGUAAGAUGAUUGGGGGUUGUGUAACGUGGGGAGAGGAGAGGGAUCAGAAUGAUCUGGGGUUCCUUGAAGUAUUCUAAUAUAUCUUGUUAGAUAGGUAUACCUAGAUAUUUGAUAAUCAUUGUUACAGUGAGCCACUAUUCUCAAUGCACUGUAUAGUAUUGUUGAGAUGUUCAGAGUGGGGUGGAAAACCACGGAAUACUGCUAUCACAGACAAAAAUAUAACAACUAUCUAUAAUAUGUUAGUGUCAUUAUAAUGUAAAAAUUAGUAAAUUAAUGGUUACUUUCUUUAAAAAUUGAAAUAAAACCAAAUUGGACAAAUAAAACAAAAGUCUGAAUUUAGUGGUGGAAAAGUCACUAAAAUUAAAAAGUAUUUUCUGAAGUUUGAUGUGGUAUCUUGUAAGAUCUUGUAAGAUCUUUGACAUCUGAUUUCAACCUUAAGUUUAAAAUAUUAUUUAUUAAAAAAUUUUACACUUAAAUAAUUGAAGUAAAAUUGACAUUACUCAAAAUUAAUCAUUUUAAAGUAAACAAUUCAUGGGAUUUAGUGUAUUCACAAUAUUAUACAGCAGCCAACUUUAGUUCCAAAACAUUUUCAUCGCCCCAAAAGGAAGUCCCAUAUGCAUUAAGCAUUUGCUCCCCAUUUCCUCUUCCAUCAGCCCCUGGCAACCACCAAUCUACAUUCUGUAGAUUUACCUAUUCUGGGUAUUUAAUAUAAACAGAGUCAUGUAAUAUGUGAUUAUUUGUAUCUGGUUUCUUGCACUUAGUGUAAUGUUUUGGAGGUUCAUGUACAUUAUAGUGUACUACAUUCCUUUUUAUUGCUGAAUAAUAUUUCUUUGUGUGUGUAUAUUACAAUUCAUUUAUCCAUUCAUUCGUUAAUGGACAGUUGGGCUGUUUUCACCUUUUGGCUAUUGUGAAUAAUAAUGCUGUCACGAACAUGUAUGUACAUGUAUUUGUUUGAGUUUCACUUCUUUUGGGUAUAUACCUAGGCAUGGAAUUGCUGACUUAUAUAGUAAUUCUAUGUUUGACUCUUUGGGAAACUGUCAGACUUUUUUCUACAGCAGUUGCAUCAUUUUACAUCCCACCAGCAAUCUACAAGGGUUCCAAUUUCUCCAUAACCAACACUUUUUAUUUUCCAUUUUUAAAAUUAUAGUCAGUCUAGUAGGUGUAAGGUGGUACCUUAUUGUGGUUUUGAUUUGCAUUGAUUGAUGCAAAUCAACUAAUGAUGUUGAACAUCAUUUCAUGUGCUUGUUGCUGUUUAUCUUCUUUGGAUUAAUCUUUGGUUUUGAUGAUAAGAAUUAUUAAGCAGUUCUUACAAUUGACUCACACAGGUAUAUGGUUGCAAAGCAAAUCACUGCAGUUCUUAUUUGCUUUGCCAAGAAUUACUUACCUUAUAUGAAGGAAUCCAAGAAAUUUAGAAGACUUUUGAUUUAAAUUUAUUUUAUAUUAAUUUCUCUUUCCUCAAGUCAAUCAGGUUAUCUUUAGCAAGUUCAUAGCAUCAUUGACAUUUUCUGUGGCAGUAAGAAAGGGAUGACAAAUAUACAUUUUCAAUGUAAGGUCAUUGAGCAAAAAACUUUAAAAAAAUGUUAGUUUAAAAUAUUUCUAUAGAUUCUAUUUUUUGUAUAUUUUUUCUAUCUUAUUCUUCUUCUUAUUAUUUUGAGGCAGAGUCUGGCCCUGUCACCCAGGUUGGAGUGUAGUGGCUCCAUCUCAGGUCACUGCAACCUCUGCCUCCUGAGCUCAAGCGACCCUCCUGCCUCACCCUCCUAAGUAGCUGGGACUACAGGUACACGCCACCACACCUGGCAAAUAUUUGUAUUUUUUGUAGAGACAGGGUUUUGCUAUGUUGCCCAGGCUGGUCUCAAACUCCUGAACUCAAGUGAUCCGUCUGCCUCAGCCUCCCAAAAUGCUGGGAUUACAGGCAUGAGCCACUGUGCUGGCCCAUUUCUGUCUAUCUUAAAACACUUCAAAACCCUUCCUCUGAUGAAGUAAUUGACUUUCAUGUCAGAAGGCAAGACUUCUUUUGUGCUUUUGGCAAUUUUUGAUGGUAAGAUUUGUGAGCUGGUUGUUUAGCUAUUGUUUGUCAGCUCCAAACCUGCCCUUCUAUUCUCUUUAUGUUACUAGUGUGGGACUGGACAAACUACAUUUCUUUUUUUUUCAGCUACUCCCUUCUACCAGUACAAGGUGCUUAGAUAAUGGAAGUCAAAAAAUAGGAGAAGGUACAUGCUCAUUCUUGUUUACUUAUUGUGUGUUAGUUUCACUUCUACGGUGGUUCUUCACCCUGGCAGUGGCAAUUGGUUUGAGACUCUGUAUUUUACUGUCCUUGGACCCAACCUUACCUUGUCCUCUCAGAAAUACCAGCACCAGCUAGUCUUCAUGACAGUGUCUCUAAAACUCACCUUUACACAUCAGAAACAGAAAAAUAACUUUUGUUUUGCUCAAACACCUAUACUUUUAUACAUCUAUAAUGGAGAAAUUGAAAGCAUCUAUAAUGGAGAAAUUGAAAGCAUUGCUAUGGCUAGUCCUCUAGGAAGCCAUUUUUCGUUAGCCUGAAAGAGAGUGGUUAUAUUUUUUAUUCUCUUCUCCAUGUACUACAUAAUUUUGUUUUCCAUGCAAUUUUUUUCCUCAUUACUUAUAUUCAAAGUACUUAAUUACUAUGCUUUAGUAUUUUAAAGGUGAUCUAAGUGUCUAAUUCACCUUUUUGUGUGAGUGUGAAUUUUCAUGAUUCACUUGGGAAUUCCAUAAGUAUUUGAGUAUGCCAUAUGUGUCAAAUACUGUGUUAGAUAGUAGAGAUAUAAUGGUAUACAAAUCAGACAUAGUCACUGCCUUCAAGGAAUAUGUAUUUUGUCAGGGCCAACAUACUGAGUAAUUACAAAAUUAAUACUUUAUGAUAGAGAAAAGACAAACUACUAUAAGAAAAUAUGGCAAGGAGAUUAAUCAUAGUAAACCUAGUUGAAUGAUUUAAAAAAAAGCCUUUCUGAAGUACUAUUUAAGACGAGAGUUGAAAGCAUAAGUAAGGGUUAGCUAAGUAUGAGGAGGAAAGGAUAUGGAAGAAUGUUCCAGGCUUAGCAUUGAGAGUGUGAAAACAGUGGUUCCAGUUGAGGCAGGAACCAUAUCACAAUGGGUUUUAUAAUUCAUGUUAAAUAGGUUGGAAUUUACCUAAGAGGCGAUGGGGAACUGUUGAGGUGUUUUUCACAGGGGAAUGACAUUAUAUCUAUUAAAUACCUACUGCAUGUCAAGUGCUGUUCUAGACACUGGGGAUCUAGAAGUGAUCAUGACAGAGUCCCUGCCUUCUGCAAUUUUCCUUCUAUGCAGGAAACAGACAAAUAAAUAUAAAGUAUAUUUUCAGUAACCUUAAGUGCUAUAGAAGAAACAAAGUCAUGUAAGGAGUUAUAAAAUGAAGGAGAUGGCCGGGCGUGGUGUCUCACGCCUGUAAUCCCAGCACUUUGGGAGGCCGAGGUGGGUGGAUCACAAGGUCAGGAGAUCAAGACCAUCCUGGCCAACACGGUGAAACCCCGUCUCUACUAAAAAUACAAAAAAAAAUUGGCCGGGCGUGGCGGUGGGUGCCUGUAGUCCCAGCUACUCUGGAGGCUGAGGCAGGAGAAUGGCAUGAACCCGGGAGGCGGAGCUUGCAGUGAGCCUAGAUUGCGCCACUGCACUCCAGCCUGGGUGACUGAGCGAGACUCCGUCUCAAAAAAAAAAAAAAAAAAAGAAAAUGAAGGAGAGAGGCCAGGCAUGGUGGCUCAUGCCUGUAAUCCCAGCACAUUGGGAGGCCGAGGUGGGCAGAUCACUUGAGGUCAGGAGCUCGAGACCAGCCUGGCCAACAUGGUGAAACCCUAUCUCUACUAAAAUUACAAAAAUUAGCUGGGCAUGGUGGCGGGUGCCUGUUGUCCCAGCUACUUGGGAGGCUGAGGCAGGAGAAUCACUUGAACCCAGGAGGAGGAGGUUGGAGUGAGCCGAGACAUGCCACUGCACUCCAGCCUGGGUGACAGAGGGAGACUCUGUCUCAAACAAACAAACAAACAAAAAAAAGAAAAUGAAGGAGAGGUAGCAAUUUUAGGUAGAAAUGUCAGGGAAGUUCACCCUGAGGAGGUCAUCUGAGAAGGCCUCUUUGAUUAGGUAACAUUUGAGCAGAGACCUGAAUGAAGUAAGGAAGUGAGUCAUAUGAAGAUCUGGGGAAAGCAUGUCCCAGGAAGAGAAAACAGACAGUUCCUUGGGUGGGAAUGAUUAUGUAUGGGAAAAACUGCAGAAAGUUUGUGAGUGUGAAGAGAGAUAAGAGAUGAGGUCAGAGAGGUAGGAGGGCCCAAGUCAUAAGUUACAGGACCUUGUAAGCCAUGAUAAGAUGUUGGAUUUUAUUUUAAAUAUGAUUAGAAGCCAUUGGAAAGUUUUGAGCAGGGAACCAAAGUGACUUAUGUUUUGGAAAGGUCAUUCUGGUGGCUGGCAGAGAAUAAGUAAAAAGUGGUAAGGCUAGAAGCAGGAAGGUCAAUUAGAGCGCUGUUGCUGCAAUCCAGGAAAGAAAUGAUAACUUAGACUAGGGUGAUAACUGUUGAGGUGGUAAAAACAGCUGGAUUUAGGAUAUGUUUUCCAGAUAGCAUCAAGUAGGAUUUGGAGGGAUUUGAAUUUGGGUUGUGAAAGAAAGCGAGGAAUCAAGGAUGACUCAGAGGUCCUUAACCUGUGCUGCUGGGUGAAUGCUGAUGCCAGUUCUGAGACAGGAAGGAAUGAAGGAGAAAUUCUUUUUUUGGAGGGGAGUAAUACAAAGCCAAGAGUUCUGUUUUAGAUAUUAAAUUUGAGAUUCCUCUUAGACAUCCAAUUGGAGAAGACAAAUAGGUAUUUGGGCCCAUGGGAGAGAUCAGGGCUCAAGCUAUAAAUCUGAGAUUUGCCAGCACAUAGGUGGUAGUUAAAGCCAUAAUAAAACUUGAUGAGAUACUUAGAGAGUGUUUGUAUAGAAGAGAGAAGACUGAGGACUGAGUCUUGUGGCACUUCAACAUUCAGAAUUUAGGAAAAGAUGGGAAUAUCAGCAAAGGAGCCUGAGGAGGAGCAGCGAAUGUGGUAAGAGAAAAAACUGGAGAACGUGAUAUCCUAGAAGCUAAGUGAAGGAGAGAAUGACCCGUUGUGUCAAAUACUAAGAUUAUGUCCUGAAGAAAGACCACUUUGGUUAUAGGAUGGAUGAUGGACUACAGAGAGGCAAGACUGUAGGUGGGGAAAUAGAUGCUGUUGCUCUACUUAGGGGAGAAAUGAUAAAUAUUGUCUUAGGCCGGGGUGGUGGCAGUUGGGAUGGAGUGUGGUAGAUAAAUUCAGCAGGCAGAAUUAGUAGACUUGGUAAUUGGGUAUGGGCUGAAUGUUAUAGGUCUUAAGUUUAACUUCGUAAAUGAUUGAACUUUAAAAACUAUAGUACUCGAAUGAGUAAAUAAAAAACUGAAGUUACUGUGGCUGGAGUACUUUCGGAUUCUUUGGAGACUGAGAUUUUUAGUAUUAUUUGAACUGAUCUUGGUUGUACAAGUUUGGCUAAGUGAAACUAAUGACAUUUUAACUGACAUUUUGGAUUAGGGCAUAUCAAUUGAUCUUUGUAGAAAAACUGUUUCUAAGCAUAUGGAUAAGAUAAAGAUAUCUAGGGGCAUGCAUGAUUAAUGAAAUCAUGUGAACCAUUUUCAAGCAGUCAUUUUUGAGCAGGCCCUCUACAUAUCAACUCUUUUUGGGUCAUCAUUCACUUGGAAAUAAAUAAACCGAAAUUCUCUCUUUUUUUUUUUUGAGAUGGAGUCUUGCUUUUGUUGCCCAGGCUGGAGUGCAGUGGCGUGAUCUCGGCUCACUGCAAUCCCCGCCUCCCGGGUUCAAGCUAUUCUCCUGCCUUAGCCUCCUGAGUAGCUGGGAUUACAGGUGCCCGCCACCAUACCCAGCUAAUUUUUGUACUUUUAGUAGAGACAGGGUUUUGCCAUGUUGGCCAGGCUGGUCUGUUUUGAUCUCCUGACCUCAGGUGAUUCGCCUGUCUUGGCCUCCCAAAGUGCUGGGAUUACAGGCAUGAGCCACUGUGCCCGGCCAGAAAUGGAAAUUCUUUAGGAUAAUCUAUUAUGAAGUAUUUACAAUAUAUCUUUUUUUCUUUUUUAUUUUUUUGAGAUGGAGUUUCACUCUUGUUGCCCAGGCUGGAGUGCAGUGGUGCGAUCUCAGCUCACUGCAACCUCCGCCUCCGGGGUUCAAGCGAUUCUCCUGCCUCAGCAUCCCAAGUAGCUGGGAUUACAGGCAUGCGCCACCAUGCCCGGCUAAUAUUUUGUAUUUUUAGUAGAGACAGGGUUGCACCAUGUUGGUCAGGCUGGUCUUGAACUCCUGACCUCAGGUGAUCCACCUGCCUCUGCCUCCCAAAGUACUGGGAUUACAGGCGUGAGCCACUGCGCCUGGCCAAUAUUUUUGACAUGCUGAAUCCUCACUUUAUCCACAUCAGUGAGGUACUACUUGACAAAAAUACCCCAACAUUUUUGGUUUCUUGGUGACAGUUUACAUCUUACCAUGUAAAUGAACUCUGAAUAACAAAUUACUUAUGAUAAAUGUUAAAUUAGUCCAUGAUAGUUCCUCUGGAAUUAUUUAUCAAGUAAAAGAUGAGCAUAGAUAAGGAAAGGAUUUGGGUAUUUCACCUUCGGAAGAAUAACAGACAAGUUAGGUUAUAGGAACCUUUCACAACAAACCACUGACGAAUGCAUUGCUGGACUUGUAGAAAUUAAGUGAAAUUAUACAAUGUUUAUCAAAAGUAAAAAAAUCAAAAUAAAAACGAUGACAAAAUUACAGCUAAAAAUUAUGAACUAAGACUGGAACAGUAAAAAAUGAUCAUGAAAGGUAGCCUUGGAGGUAAAUGUUUAUAUCAGCAUGGCAGUGGGAAGCCUUAGGUAGGUAACAAGAUAAGAAAGCUGAAUAUGAAAUUCUAGCCUUAAGCCAGGGACACUUGAAGGGAACCAGAGAAGAUUGAUAGAGCCCAUAGUUCCUGGAAGAAGCAAAUAUAAAUUCUCUCUCUGAAGGAAAACCUUCUUCAUUUACCACCUAGGAUUCUCUGUUUAAGAUCAACUAGAUUUGAAGUCACAAUCCAAGAUGACCAAAUACAGAAGGAGACAAAUCAUUAUUAAGGAGUUGGCUGAAAAAUACAACAGACCCCAAGAACUUAAGAUAUUGAAGGGAUCAGGUAUAGAAUAUUAAAUAACUAUGCAUAAAAUAUUUAAAGAUACAAGAGAGGAACUCACAAAAAUGAGCGAGCAGCAAGAGAGUAUCAAAUAUGACCAAGAAGAUUUGAAAAUGUACCAAAUAGAAUGUCUGUACAUGAAAAAUGUAGUUGUUGGAAUAAAAACCUCCAGAUUGGUUAAAUAGCAGCUUAAACCUAGCUUCAGAGAGAAUUAGUGAACUAGAAGAUGGUUUGAAGAAAUCACAAAGAAUGUAGCACAGAGGCAGAGAAAUGGAAUAUAUGACAGAGAGGUUAGGAGAAAUGGAAUAUGAAGGUUUAAUGUAAGUCUCUAGUCAGAAUCCCAGAAAGCAAGACAAGAAAAUGCAGGAGAGACAAUAUUGGAAGAGAUAAUGGCUGAAAAUUUUCUAAAAUUAUUGAAAGACUUGAAUUUAUAGAUAUAGAAAAGCUCAACUUUGACAAAGCAGAAUAAUUAAACCCACACCUGAAGAUACUGUAGGUGAAACUGUGUCUGGUAACCAGCCUCCAAGAUGAUCCCGAAUGAUUCUUUCUUUCACACCCUUAUAUUGUCCUCACUCACACUUAAUGGGGCUGAAUUUCAUAACUAAUAGGGUAUUGUGCAAAUGAAGGGGUGUGACGUUGGAGGUUAAGUCAUGAAAGGCAUUGUGGCUUCCACCUUGCCCAUUCUUGGAUCACUCACUCUGGAUGAAGCCAAUCACCAUGUUGUGAGGUCACUCAGGCAACCCAUGGAAAAGCCCUACUGGAGAAGAAUUGAGCCCUCCUGCCAAUAACCAGCAUCAGCUUAUGAGGCAUGAGUGAGCUACCUUGGAAGUGUAUCCUUCUGCCCUGGCCAGCCCUUCAGAUGAUUAUAGCUCUAGCUAGCAUCUCAGCUGCAGCCUCAUAAAAUACCUUCAGCCAGAAUCAGCCAGCUAAGCUGCUUCUGAGUUCUUGAGCCACAGAAACUGUGGAAUAAUAGGUGUUUAUUGUUUUAAGCCGCUGUGUUUUGGGGAUAACUUCUCAUGCAGCAUUACAUACCUAAUAUACUAAAGAACAUCAAAGACAAUGAGAAAAAUCUUAAAAGUAACCAGAAAGAAAAGAUGGAUUACUUAGAGAGUAACAACACUUGGACUGAUGUUAGAUUUCUCAGUAGCAAACGUGGAAGCUAUAGUAUCUGCAUGCAUAGUGUGGAGGAAAGUAUCAGUUGGCCUAGUGUUAUAUAUUUAGAAAAAUGAUCUUUUAAGAAUGAAAGAGAAAUAGGGCUUUUUUUUUGAGACAGGGUCUUGCUGUGUUGCCCAGGCUGGGGUGCAGUGGUGCGAUCUUGGCUCACUGCAACCUCUGCCUCCCGAGUUCAAGUGAUUCUCCUGCCUCAGCCCCCCUGAGUAGCUGGGACUACAGAGAUGUGCCACCAUGCCCAGCUAAUUUUGUAUUUUUAGUAGAGACGGGGUUUUACUAUGUUGGCCAGGCUGGUCUUGAACUCCUGACCUCAUGUGAUCCACCCUCCUUGGCCUCCCAAAGUGCUGGGAUUACAGGCAUGAGCCACUGUGCCCAGCUGAAAAAUAGGGCAUUUUUUUUUUUUAAUAAACCAAAACUGAGUUUUCCAUGAACCCUUCACUAAAGGGUAUAUUUUAUGGCGAAGGAAAAUGAUCUCAGAAAAGUCUGAUAUAUGAUGAUGAGCAACAAAAUUAGUAAACAUGUGGAUAAAUGUAAAUAAGAAUUAUCUGUAUAAAAGAGUAGCAUCUAAUUUGUGGGAUUAAAAAAGACAUAACUAAAAUAUUGCAUUUAAAAAUUUAUUUCAAUAGGUUUUUGGGGAACAGUUGGUGUUUGGUUACAUUAAUAAGUACUUUAGUGGCGAUUUCUGAGAUUUUUGGUGCACCCAUCGCCCGAGCAGCAUGCCCAAAGUGUAGUCUUUUAUCCCUCAGCACCCCCCACCCUUUCCCUGUAAUCCCCAAAGUCCAAUGUAUCAUUCUUAUGCCUUUGUGUCCUCAUAGCUUAGCUCCCACAUAUGAGUGAGAACAUACAAUGUUUGGUUUUCCAUUCCUGAGUUACUUCACCUAGAAUAAUAGUCUCCAAUUCCAUUCAGGUUGCUGCAAAUGCCAUUAUUUCAUUCCUUUUUAUGGCUGAGUAGUAUUCCAUGGUAUAAAAUAUACCACAUUUUCUUUAUCUGCUCAUUGAUUGAUGGGCAUUUGGGCUGGUUCCGUAUUUUUGCAAUUAGAAAUUGUGCUGCUAUAAACAUAGGUGUGCAAGUAUCUUUUUGCAUAAUGACUUCUUUUCCUCUGGGUAGAUACCUAGUAAUGGGAUUGCUGGAUCAAACGGUAGAUCUACUUUUAGUUGUUUAAUGAGUCUCCACACUGUUUUCCCUAGUGAUUGUACUGGUUUACAUUCCCACCAACAGUGUAAAAGUGGUCCCUUUUCACUACAUCCAUGCCAACAUCUAUUAUUUUUUCAUUAUGGCUAUUCUUGCAGGAGUGAGGUGGUAUUACAUUGUGGUUUUGAUUUGCAUUUCCCUGAUAAUUAGUGAUGUUGAGCAUUUUUCCAUAUGCUUGUUGGCCAUUUGUAUAUCUUCUUUUGAGAAUUGUCUAUUUAUGUCUUCAGCUCACUUUUUGAUGGGAUUGUUUUUUUCUUGCUGAUUUGUUUGAGUUCUGCAUAGAUUCUGAAUAUUAGUCCUUUGUUGGAUAUAUAGAUUGCGAAGACUUUUUCUCACUCCGUGGAUUGUCUGUUAACUUUGCUGAUUAUUUCUUUCUUUUUUUUUCCUUUUAAAAGACGGAGUCUCACUCUGUUACCCAGGCUGGAGUAGAGUGGUACAAUCUCGGCUCACAGCAACCUCCGCCUCCCAGGUUCAAGUGAUUCUCCUGCCUCAGCCUCCCUAGUAGCUGGGAUGACAGGUGUGUGCCACCACACCCGGUUAAUUUUUGUAUUUUUAGUAGAGAUGGGGUUUCACCAUGUUGGCCAGGCUGGUCUCGAACUCCUGACCUCAAGUGAUCUGCUUGCCUCAGCCUCCCAAAGUGCUGGGAUUACAGGUGUGAGUGUCUGUGCCAGACCUCUGCUGAUUAUUUCUUCUGCUGUGCAGAAGCUUUUAAGUUUAAUUAAGUCCCAUCAAUGUAUCUUAUUUUGUUGAUGCAUUUGUGUUUGGGUUCUUGGUCAUGAAGUGUUUGCCUAAGCCAGUGUCUAGAAGGGUUUUUCCAAUGUUGUCUUCUAGAAUCUUUAUGGUUUCAGAUCUUAGAUUUAAGUCUUUGAUUCAUCUUUUUUUUUUUUUUUUAAUUGAUCAUUCUUGGGUGUUUCUUGCAGAGGGGGAUUUGGCAGGGUCAUAGGACAAUAGUGGAGGGAAGGUCAGCAGAUAAACAAGUGAACAAAGGUCUCUGGUUUUCCUAGGCAGAGGACCCUGCGGCCUUCCGCAGUGUUUGUGUCCCUGGGUACUUGAGAUUAGGGAGUGGUGAUGACUCUUAACCAGCAUGCUGCCUUCAAGCAUCUGUUUAACAAAGCACAUCUUGCCCCGCCCUUAAUCCAUUUAACCCUGAGUGGACACAGCACAUGUUUCAGAGAGCACAGGGUUGGGGGUAAGGUCACAGAUCAACAGGAUCCCAAGGCAGAAGAAUUUUUCUUAGUACAGAACAAAAUGAAAAGUCUCCCAUGUCUACUUCUUUCUACACAGACACGGCAACCAUCCGAUUUCUCAAUCUUUUCCCCACCUUUCCCCCCUUUCUAUUCCACAAAACUGCCACUGUCAUCAUGGCCCGUUCUCAAUGAGCCGCUGGGCACACCUCCCAGACGGGGUGGUGGCCAGGCAGAGGGGCUCCUCACUUCCCAGCAGGGGCAGCCGGGCAGAGGUGCCCCUCACCUCCCGGACGGGGUGGCUGGCCGGGCGGGGGGCUGACCCCCUCACCUCCCUCCCGGACGGGGCAGUUGGCCUGGCGGGGGCUGACCCCCCACCUCCCUCCCGGACGGGGCGGCUGGCCUGGCGCGGGGGCUGACCCCCACCUCCCUCCCGGAUGGGGUGGCUGCCGGGCGGAGACGCUCCUCACUUCCCAGACGGGGUGGCUGCCGGGCGGAGGGGCUCCUCACUUCUCAGACGGGGUGGCUGCCAGGCAGAGGGUCUCCUCACUUCUCAGACGGGGCGGCCGGGCAGAGACGCUCCUCGCCUCCCAGACGGGGUUGCGGCCGGGCAGAGGCGCUCCUCACAUCCCAGACAGGGCGGCGGGGCAGAGGCGCUCCCCACAUCUCAGACGAUGGGCGGCCGGGCAGAGACGCUCCUCACUUCCUAGAUGGGAUGUCGGCUGGGAAGAGGGGCUCCUCACUUCCUAGAUGGGAUGGCGCUGGGCAGAGACGCUCCUCACUUUCCAGACUGGGCAGCCAGGCAGAGGGGCUCCUCACAUCCCAGACGAUGGGCGGCCAGGCAGAGACGCUCCUCACUUCCCAGACGGGGUGGCGGCCGGGCAGAGGCUGCAAUCUUGGCACUUUGGGAGGCCAAGGCAGGCGGCUGGGAGGUAGAGGUUGCAGCGAGCGGAGAUCACGCCACUGCACUCCAGCCUGGGCACCAUUGAGCACUGAGUGAACGAGACUCCGUCUGCAAUCCCGGCACCUCGGGAGGCCGAGGCUGGCGGAUCACUCGCGGUUAGGAGCUGGAGACCAGCCCGGCCAACACAGCGAAACCCCGUCUCCACCAAAAAAAUACGAAAACCAGUCAGGCAUGGUGGCGCGCGCCUGCAAUCACAGGCACUCGACAGGCUGAGGCAGGGGAAUCAGGCAGGGAGGUUGCAGUGAGCUGAGAUGGCGGCAGUACAGUCCAGCUUUGGCUCGGCAUCAGAGGGAGACCGUGGAAAGAGAGGGAGAGGGAGACCGUGGGGAGAGGGGGAGGGGGAGGGGGAGGCGGAGAGGGAGAGGGAGAGGCUUUGAUCCAUCUUGAAUUGAUUUUUGUAUAAGGUGAGAGAUGAGGAUCCAGUUUCAUUCUUCUACCUGUGGCUUGACAGUUGUCCCAGCACCUUUUGUUGAAUAGGUCGUCCUUUCCCCACUUUAUGUUUUUGUUUACUUUGCCAAAGAACAGUUAGCUGUAAGUAUUUGGGUUUAUUUUUGGAUUCUCCAUUCUGUUUCAUUGGUCUAUGUGCCUAUUUUUAUACCAGUACCAGGCUGUUUUGGUGACUAUGGCCUUAUAGUAUACUUUGAAGUCAGUAAUGUGAUACUUCUAGAUUUGUUCUUUUUGCUUAGUCUUACGUGGCUAUGCGGGCUCUUUUUUGGUUCCAUAUGAAUUUUGGGAUUUUUUUUCUCGUUCCGUGAAGAUUUAUGGUGAUAUUUUGAUGGGAAUUGCAUUGAAUUUGUAGAUUGCUCUUGGCAAGAUGGUCAUUUUUGCAAUAUUGAUUCUACUCAUCCAUGAGCAUGGGUUGUGUUUCCAUUUGUUUGUGUCAUCUGUGAUUUCUUUCAGCAGUAUUUUGUAGUUUUCCUUGUAGAGGUCUUUCGCCUCCUUGGUUAGGUAUAUUCCUAAGUAUUUUAUUAUUUUUUUUGUGGUUAUCGUGAAGGGGGUUGAGUUUUUGAUUUGAUUCUCAGCUUAGUUGCUAUUGGUGUAUAGCAGAGCUACUGAUUUGUGUGUAUUAAUUUUGUAUCCUAAAACUUUGCUGAAUUCAUUUACCAGUUUUAGGAGCUUUUUGGAUGAAUCUUGAGGGUUCUCUAGGUAUAUGAUCAUAUCAUCAGCAAACAGUGACAGUUUGACUUCCUCCUUACUGAUUUGGAUGUGCUUUAUUUUUUUCUCUUGUCUGAUUGCUCUCGCUAGGACUUCCGGUACUAUGUUGAAUAGAAGUGGUGAAAGAGGACAUCCUUGUCUUGUUCCAGUUCACAGGGGGAAUGCUUUCAAGUUUUCUUUGUUAAGUGUAAUGUUGGCUGUGGGUUUGUCGAAGAUGGCUUUUAUUACAUUAAAGUAUGUCCCUUCUAUGCUGAUUUUGCUGAGGGUUUUAGUCAUAAAGAGAUGCUGGAUUUUAUCAGAUGCUUUUUCUGCAUCUAUUGAGAUGAUCAUGUGAUUUUUGCUUUCAACUCUGUUUAUGUGGUAUAACACAUUUAUUGACUUACAUAUGUUAAACCAUCCUCAUCCCUGGUAUGAAACCACUUGGUCAUGGUGGAUUAUCUUUUUGAUAUGCUGUUGGAUUUGGUUUGCUAGUAUUUUGUUGAGGAUUUUUGCAUCUAUUUUCAUCAGGGAUAUUGGUCUGUAGUUUUCUUUUUUUUGCUGUGUCCUUCCCCAGUUUUGUUAUUAGGGUUAUACUGACUUCAUAGAAUGAUUUAGGAAGGAUUCCCUCUUUCUCUAUCUUUUGGAAUAGUGUCAAUAAGAUUGGUAGCAAUUCAUCUUUGAGUGUCUAAUAGAAUUUAGCUGUGAAUCUGCCUGGUGCUGGACUUUUUUUUGUUUACAAUUUUAAAAUUACCAUUUCAAUCUUGCUGCUGUUAUUGGUCUGUCCCGAGAUUCUAUAUCUUCCCGGUUUAAUCUAGGAGGGUUGUAUAUUUCCAGGAAUUUAUCAAUCUCCUGGAGUAGUAAAGUCCCUCACUAUUAUUGUGUUGCUGUCUAUCUCAUUUCUUAGGUCUAGUAGUAAUUGUUUUAUAAAUUUGGGGGCUCCAGUGUUAGGUGCAUAUAUAUUUAGAAUUGUGAUAUUUUCCUGUUAAACUAGUCCUUUUAUCAUUAUAUAAUGUCCGUCUUUGUCUUUUUUAACUGCUAUUGCUUUAAAGUUUGGUUUGUCUGAUAUAAGAAUAGUUGUUCCUGCUUGCUUUUGGUGUCCAUUUGCAUGGAAUAUCUUUUUCCACCCCCUUUGCCUUAAGUUUAUAUGAGUCCUUGGAAAUCACUUAAAACAACUCCAUUCAAAUUUUUUUCUAGUUUUUAAUUUUUAUUUUUUAAUUCUGGAACAGUAGAUAAAAUUCUGUCAAGACUAAUCAAAUGUUUUGCUGCAGUGCUAGUCUAUUAAACCUUCGCAUUUAUGUCAUUAUACUGUAAAAUAGAAUUUAUGGUACUUUUUAAUGUUUCAUUUUUCUCUUUUUAUAGUUUUUUGUAGAGCAAAGUAACAUUGGAGAUAAUUUUUUAUAUUAGCUUUGCUACUGAUACAAAUGAUAGACGCACACUCCUGAUAGAAGUAGGGCAUGAAUACUUGAUUAGUCUUUAACAGUGAUGGUUACAGGGAUAGUAUAUCGCAGUUACAGUUAAUCCCUGACCACUGAGUUGUUUAAGUAGGCAUUUAGGAUUCUUGUGAUUGAUGAAAUAAACUAAAAUAGUCUUGUCUUUAAGGAGAUGUAGCUUGAAUGAGGAUAAUGAAACCAUAGUAAUGUAGAUAAACCUUACUGACAUUUUGUGCUUUCAAAGGGAAAUGGGAUCUUAAACUGCUUUGGCUAAAAUUUCAAAAUGAAUUGUAGCCACAAUUCUGAAAUUAUGGGUCUCUGUCCCUAAAAAAUUCUUUUAAAGAAUUUAACAUCUACUUCUGCAAAAUGUCAAUAAUACCAUUUACCUCUUUUUUUCAGGGACGUAGUGAGGAGUACCUCUUUGAAAAUGGCAAAUGUUAUCUGUUAGACUGUUGCAUCUCAUCACUGGAAGAUAUUUUUUCACUAAACAGUCAUAGAGAAAAUGGUUAUCAUUGAUCUUAAAAUGGAUUGAUCACAAUCCUCACUGGACUAAAAUUGUUGGGAAUUAAAGUACAGAUCUUAUUUGAUUGUGAGCAGAAGAAACUUAAAAGCUUUGACUUUUCAAUUUAGAAGUUUGGAGAUUUAAGGUAUGAUAUAAUAAUUUACAACUGUAUUUUGUGAAAUCGGUGAUCUCCAAUCUUUAGAUUGAAGAAAAACAUUGAAGACCAUGAAUUUUACAGUGACUUAUCUCUUCCAGUUAGCAAAUCAAGCACAUUUUUUGUUUUGCAAAUGUCUUAACUGUAAAAAGUAUAUAACCACAUAGCUCUUCUUUUGAAAAGGGAUCUAACCUACAGAAUAUAGUUGUUAUGUAUUUUAAAAUUUAAAGAUGUUUUUGUUCAAUUAAUUGGCAAACAGUUGAUUAAUCAUUAUGUAUUAACUUUAGGCAUUGUAAUGAGUACCAAAGAAUUAAGAUAGACUUAAAAAGGAGAGAAUCCAAAUCCUUUGAGAACUGUUUGUUUUUAUAGUUUACAGUCCUGAUGUUUAACACAGGGCCUGGCAGCAGUAGACAUUUACUAAAGGUUAGUUGAAUGAGUAAAUGAAUAAGAAGGACCUGAUAGUUGCCCUCAAGAAACUUAGAGCCCUUAAAUGUAAUAAGAUGAAUAUACAGAAAACCAGACUGAUCAAUAGACAAUAAUAGUGUGCUCAAUAAUUAGAAUUUAGAGGUCAGGCAUGGUGGCUCACACCUGUAAUCCCAGCACUUCGGGAGGCUUAGGUGGGUAGAUCACCUGAGGUCAGAAGUUUGAGACCAGCCUGGCCAACAUGGUGAAACCCCAUCUCUCCUAACAAUAAAAAAAAUUAGCUGGGUGUGAUGGUGGGUGCCUGUAAUCCCAGCUACUCGGGAGGCUGGGGCAGGAUAAUUUCUUGAACCCAGGAGGCAGAGGCUGCAGUGAGCUGAGAUCGUGCCACUGCACUCCAGCCUGGGUGACAGAGCGAGACUCCAUCUCAGAAAAAAAAAGGAAAAAAGAAAAAAAAGUAGAAUUUAGAGGUGUUAGAAUUUGGAGGAAACAUUAAAAUAGUUUUCAAACAUGGUAUUUGGACUACUAUUAACAAAACUUACUGUAGUGGUAAAGUCAGGUGAAGUCCUCUUAAAGAAUGUGGGACUUGAACAAGCCCUAAAGGAUUGGUAGGAUUUGGAUGUGAAUAAAAGAGGCAUCAUAGGUAGGGGAACAUCAUGACUGUCAUGGGGGUAAGGAAACAUGUUUAUGAGCCGAUGAGAAAAAUGGCCUUCUUGUAAAACUUUAAACUAUAAUAAUGCUGGAUUGAUAGGUGGUGUUUAGGCAGACAAUUCAAAUUUCCAAAUGGCAGUUUUACCAUUCACCACCAAACUGAUCUGCUGAAUGCUUCCAGCCAUAUCCAUCUGCCAGGAGCCUGCCUGGCACACUGCCUCUCGGCUAUUUGCUCAGAUGGUUUGACAGAUGCAUAGGUAGUAAGAAAUGGUGCUGUUAAUGUCAGUAAAGCUGCCCUUUGUGAAAGCUAGUUAACCAGUGUGACUUUGAGCUUUAUAACUGAUGAUUUGUGGUGAUGUUAGAUUAAAAAAAAUGUAGCUUUAAAUGGUGUGGGAGAUGCUGGGCUUGCCUUAUUGUUCAGAGAUUGCCAUGUUGGUUUGAUACUGGGCUGGAAGGUCUCUCCGCUUACCCUACCUCAUACUUCCUCAACACCCUGAGAUACCAGAAUGAAUUGAUUAUUUCUUUGCUCAUGGUUAAAACAUAUAUUUUUAGAGAAGGGUUCAUGCUCAGCCUGCUAUAAAUGCAUAUUUGCUUUCGGGCCUUGUUCUAAGAUGAUAUGGGGCUAGGCCGUAUCCCUCAGGGUGAACACAAAUUGUACUCCCCUCACUCUGUAAGUCACUGUCAAAAACAUGGAGUGCUUAGAUAUGGGAAGAAAAUUAAAUGUCACUUGAUAGAGCUUUUGUCUUUUAUUAGAUGAUAUUUAGAUAAUAAUAAAAAACUAGUGCAUUUGAAUUAUGUGACAUAAGAGAGUUCCAAAAGAGAGCAGCAGUAUUGGGUGGUUAGAAAUAUAGAUUAAUGACCCACAAUUUUCGUAUCUAGUAUUCUUGAUGGAGUGAUUGUAGUGCUAAGAAACUAUGAGUAAAUAUGUCUUUACUUAAAAUUAUUUAAUCUUUAGCGAGUAUUUAACUGUUGGCUCUGGUUUUGCAUUGUUUACUUUUUUUUUUUUUAACUAGGGGGAGUUAAAUGAUACAUGUCUGUAGAGUUAUUUUAUGCUACUUUUCUUUAACAUGCCUCAGCAUUAAAAUGUCCUUAAGAAUAUUGCAUCAUAUCAUUAAGAGUCUGACUAUGGAAGGAAUGCGACCGUAUUACAUUCAGUAAAAUGACCAAAGCAAAAUUGAAGUGCCAGAAGAGAAAUAAGACCUUUGAAUUAUCCAUAGAUAGAAGAGGUAUGUUCUUCUAUUCCUAAUGGACCCAGGUUACUGUGAGGGUUCCUGGAUCUGAUUGUUAAAAAUUUUCAGUCAUCUUCUUUGUUACCUUCCGCUUAGUAUAUUAUCAAUGGCUUGCUUCCUGCUACACUUCUCCCUGCUCUCUUUGACUAUUUCUGAUCUGCUAUUGCUUAGAAAACUUCAUAACCAAGGUUGUAAAAAUUAUCUUAAAAAAUAAGAAUACUGUCUUAGGAUUUCAGAGGGUGGCUAGAAAUUGAGGUCCAGAAAAAUUAAGUGACUUGCCCAAUGCACAUGCACAGCCUGUCAACACAGUUGACAAGAAAAACAGAAUCUUCUAUGUACUAUACUAUAGUCUUUAAUUUUUUUCAUCAUUUAAAAUUUUUAGUCCCUGAAUGAUGGCCUAGGAGACUGUAUUGAGUACAGCAUAUUAGUCAUGAAGACCUUUUUACUACUUUCGUAAUUGAUAGAUGAAUUCUGUCUUUUUACUAUCUUCCUAAUUGAUAGAUGAAUUCUGCCAAACAUGUUACUUCCACAUAAGUUUGUCUGUGUGCUUACACUUAUUUAAUCUUAGAUACUAAUUCUUUGUAUGUGUUUAUACUUAUUUAGCCUUAUAUAGUAAUUCUUUUUUUAAAAAAUAGAGACAGGGUCUUACUCUGUCACGUAGGCUGUAGUGCAGUGGUGAAUCAUAGUUCGUUGUAACCUCACUGCUUGAGGGAUCCUCCUGCUUCAGCUUCCUGAGUAGCUGAGACUACAGGUGUGUGCCACCAUCCCUGGCUGAUUUUUGUAUUUUUCAUAGAGAUGAGGCCCUGCCAUGUUGCCCAGGCUGUUCUUGAACUUCUGUCCUCAAGCAAUCCUCGUGUCUGGGCCUCCCAAAGCGCUGGGAUUACAGAUGCGAGCCACCAUGCCUGGCCUUUGUAUACUCAUUUUCAAAAAUUUAAGUCUAUCAUCUGUGAUUUGAGAAUAGGUAUUUGUUAAUAUAAACAAACCAGAUAACAUCUCAGUUCUCCAAACCCCAUGCAGCUCAACACUAAAGCAGUCUUCAUGAAUCUGAAGUUUUUGUGCAGAGAAAGCCAAUGAUAGGAACAUUUUAAGAUUUCUGCUAAGAAUUGCUGAGCAUGAUAUAUCUAGUAUUUAUAGUAGAUAUGCCAUUGAUGCUUAAUAAACAUUUGAAAAACCCUCUCUAAAAACUGCAGAAAAAAGAUGCACACCUGUAAUCCCAGCUACUUGGGUUAAGGUAGGAGAAUUGUUUGAGUCUAGCUUGGGCAACAUAGUGGGACCUUGAGUGUAAAAAAAAAUACAAUAAAUAAAAUAAAAAUUUUAAAAAUGUUAAAAAAAUUAAAACUUCGGACAAGAGAAAAAUUGCUUAAUAAUCACUUUGAAUGUGUUUGCGUUUAAUAUAUUAUGAAGUAUUGAUGUAAAGAGUUGUAAAUAUUUUCACCCUACAGCCCUAAUUAGAAUAGUCAGAAUGUUGCUUUAAUAAGUACUUAGUAAACAUAUUCAAGAAAUUUAAAUGACUUUAUGAAGUUUUUUCAGUUGGGAUGAAUUGUAGGACUCCAUCGGGAACAGAAAUUCUUGAAGUCUGAAGACUGAGACAUUCUGUAGCUUAAAAGUUUUCUUACCACGAAAAUAGCCUUGCCAUUGGCUUGUAUACUGAAUUAAUUGGAAGUUCGCUGGCCAUAAUUCUGUCUUCCUAGGAUCUGCCUAGAGUUUUCUGUCUGCAUUCCUUUUUUUGAGGGUGAAGGGGAGUACCUGACUAUCUUUUGUAAAGAUUUUUCUUUUCCUCUUUAGAUUCCUAAUAAUGCUGGGUAUGCCAAAUCUUUAAUGAUGCUCUGUGUAGCCUAUAGUUGGGCAAAAGCUGACUGGAAGAUACUCUUCAGCAACUUGAUUUUUUUAGUAUUUAGGACUUACUAAUUUUUAUCUUUGGAAAGACAGUUUUAUCUUUAGCUCUAACAAUUUUAUCUCUAGCUUUAACUUUGCAGGGACAUGGAUGAAGCUGGAAACCAUCAUUCUCAGCAAACUAUCACAAGGACAGAAAACCAAACACCACAUGUUCUCACCCAUGCUCUAACUUGAGCUUUAUACCUUUAUUACCCCACUGCAUAUGCCAUGUAUAGUGGCUAGCUGGUAUCCCACCCUCAUGUGAGAAGGGCUAAAUGAAGAGAUGCUGAGCCCCUUCAAAGUGAGUGCUCUACUCUGUUGCAUUGCCCAAAGAUUAGAUUUCUUGACAUUUACCUUAAAACCCUGAACAGUUUGUGCUCGAGAGCUCUGCUAUUUGCUAAACUACUUUAGCAAACAGCAUGCUGUGAAGCAAGACCCCACCAGAGCCCUUUCUGCAAUAUCUUUUAAUUUUGGUUUUCCUAUAUGCCCACGUGUGGUUUUAUAUUAUAGACCAAUGGAAAAAAAAUAAUUUGAUGUGAGUAAUGUUGCUUUUUCCUCCAAUUUUUCACUGCUUUAAAAAAUAAUUGAGGAGAGCCUUUAAUACCUCUUUGAAAAUAAUUAUGAAGGUUUUUUACUAUUUGGAAGAUCAUAGAAUCCACCAUAUAGUAAUUUUUAAAUAUUUUAAAUUGGAUGUUUAACUUUAAAUUAGAAAAAACAACAUUAUUGAAAGCUUUUCUUUAAUAGAAAAAUUGCUUUGAUUUUUAUUUCAUAAUUGAUUUAAAAUAUUAGUUACAUGAAUUAUUAUUUACAACUUGCAUAGUAAUUUUCAUACAUCUCCAUAAUAAAAAUUCACUCUGUAAUCUCUUCUAUAAAAAGAAGUAAACAGCACCUGCCAGAGCACUGUAGCAACGAGAGCCAUCAAGUGUGUAUUCACUUCGUUAUUCAAAACAGCAGUGAAAGAGUUAAUAAAAGCUGAAUACAUUACAGGAUUACAAAGAUUUUUAUUUAUUAGGGGAUAGGGAGGGUAUGGUAUAUAUGGGAUGAAACAUUAAUAACCUCUCUAUUCUGCAAGACUGACCUAUUGCUUUGGAACUACUCUUUUAGCCCCACAGAGACUGUGAAACAGUGUUUUGGUGGUCUAUAGGAAAGGUUCAACUUGGCAAAUGUAGUGGUAAGUGAUGUCACUGAAUGCAUACCAUAUGUAUUGAGAGUCAGUGAAUGCUAUUCUCUCUGCUGCGCACAGGCAUGUGUAAGUGUUGGAAUGGAAAAAUCAUUUUUAUGAAAAUAUAGAGAAGUAAAACAAGAAUGUUCUGUCCUGAGCCUGAUCAGAUCACCAGUAGCUGCCAAGAGUGAACACUCCGUGUAAGGUUUUCUCUUCUUAAUUCUCCAGCUUCCGGCCUUUUGUUGGCUCUCAAAAGUAGUCUAUUCAGAAGGCCUUAUUCAGCAUGUUCUUUCUUGAUAUGAUAUGAACACCAAAUGAAAGUUCCAUUUUCUCCAUUAAAGUAAAGCUGGGAGAAUAUUUUAGUGUGCAUGGUUUGCAGCAGAUGGAAAUGAUUAAUUGAUUUAGCUAACUUGCCAAAUUGUUCUCUUUCCCAGUAGAGUUGGGUUUUAUCAGAGAGACUCGUACUGCUAAUCAUUGUAACACUUACUAAUAUAUCAGAAAGAAUAUAAUUGUUGUGUUUUAAUUAUUCUCAUUACUAUUAUUUAAGACAUGCUCUAAUGCUACACUAAUAGAUAUGGCAAAUAAAUAAGGCAAUUGAUUCCUGUUAGAAAUUUAUGACAUAUAAGAUAGAGUAGAAGAAUACAUGGAGAUAUAAAAAGGUGAAGUAGCCAGUUAUUUUACUCUUAAAUUUUUAUUAGCAAAUCAGUGUCCUUACUAAAAAUCAAAUGGUAUUUUCUUAAGCUUGAAUAGAUGCUAUCUUAAAUCUUAAUCUCUUUUGUAUUUUGUACAAAGACUGCCUGUUAUAACAGUAUGAUUUUAAGUAAUUUUUUAAAAAUAAAAGCAAUAUUUGCCCUUCAUAAUAGGACAUUAGAAAUACAAAUAUAAAUAAUAAACUAUAUUGUUAUAGCAAUUCUGUUAACAUUUUGAUAUUUCAUUUUAGAUUUUUAAUAUACAUAUACACAUAUAUACAUAUAAGAAACAUAUAUGUCUGUAUAGAUAUAUGUAUAUUUUUAUUUUUACAAAAUUUGGAAAUACUCUUUAACUUUUCUCAGCUAUUUUUACUUAAUAAUGUAACUUGAUGUUUUCCUGUCAGUAAAAUGUUUUUAGAAAUCUCCUUUUUAAUGGGGAAUGAAUUUUUUAAUUAAACAAACUUUUUAAAAUUUAGAGA